rnacentral:rRNA from 1 species
CGAACGAACUCUGGUAUUGAUUGGUGCUUGCAUCAUGAUUUACAUUUGAGUGAGUGGCGAACUGGUGAGUAACACGUGGGAAACCUGCCCAGAAGCGGGGGAUAACACCUGGAAACAGAUGCUAAUACCGCAUAACAACUUGGACCGCAUGGUCCGAGUUUGAAAGAUGGCUUCGGCUAUCACUUUUGGAUGGUCCCGCGGCGUAUUAGCUAGAUGGUGGGGUAACGGCUCACCAUGGCAAUGAUACGUAGCCGACCUGAGAGGGUAAUCGGCCACAUUGGGACUGAGACACGGCCCAAACUCCUACGGGAGGCAGCAGUAGGGAAUCUUCCACAAUGGACGAAAGUCUGAUGGAGCAACGCCGCGUGAGUGAAGAAGGGUUUCGGCUCGUAAAACUCUGUUGUUAAAGAAGAACAUAUCUGAGAGUAACUGUUCAGGUAUUGACGGUAUUUAACCAGAAAGCCACGGCUAACUACGUGCCAGCAGCCGCGGUAAUACGUAGGUGGCAAGCGUUGUCCGGAUUUAUUGGGCGUAAAGCGAGCGCAGGCGGUUUUUUAAGUCUGAUGUGAAAGCCUUCGGCUCAACCGAAGAAGUGCAUCGGAAACUGGGAAACUUGAGUGCAGAAGAGGACAGUGGAACUCCAUGUGUAGCGGUGAAAUGCGUAGAUAUAUGGAAGAACACCAGUGGCGAAGGCGGCUGUCUGGUCUGUAACUGACGCUGAGGCUCGAAAGUAUGGGUAGCAAACAGGAUUAGAUACCCUGGUAGUCCAUACCGUAAACGAUGAAUGCUAAGUGUUGGAGGGUUUCCGCCCUUCAGUGCUGCAGCUAACGCAUUAAGCAUUCCGCCUGGGGAGUACGGCCGCAAGGCUGAAACUCAAAGGAAUUGACGGGGGCCCGCACAAGCGGUGGAGCAUGUGGUUUAAUUCGAAGCUACGCGAAGAACCUUACCAGGUCUUGACAUACUAUGCAAAUCUAAGAGAUUAGACGUUCCCUUCGGGGACAUGGAUACAGGUGGUGCAUGGUUGUCGUCAGCUCGUGUCGUGAGAUGUUGGGUUAAGUCCCGCAACGAGCGCAACCCUUAUUAUCAGUUGCCAGCAUUAAGUUGGGCACUCUGGUGAGACUGCCGGUGACAAACCGGAGGAAGGUGGGGAUGACGUCAAAUCAUCAUGCCCCUUAUGACCUGGGCUACACACGUGCUACAAUGGAUGGUACAACGAGUUGCGAACUCGCGAGAGUAAGCUAAUCUCUUAAAGCCAUUCUCAGUUCGGAUUGUAGGCUGCAACUCGCCUACAUGAAGUCGGAAUCGCUAGUAAUCGCGGAUCAGCAUGCCGCGGUGAAUACGUUCCCGGGCCUUGUACACACCGCCCGUCACACCAUGAGAGUUUGUAACACCCAAAGUCGGUGGGGUAACCUUUUAGGAACCAGCCGC